UGGAGGAAAGCAGGGGAUCGUAAGACCUUGCGCUUUUGGAGUGGCCGAUGUCUGAUUAGCUAGUUGGUGGGGUAAUGGCCUACCAAAGCUUCGAUCAGUAGCUGGUCUGAGAGGACGGCCAGCCACACUGGGACUGAGACACGGCCCAGACUCCUACGGGAGGCAGCAGUGGGGAAUUUUGGACAAUGGGCGCAAGCCUGAUCCAGCCAUGCCGCGUGAGUGAAGAAGGCCUUCGGGUUGUAAAGCUCUUUCAGCCGGGAAGAAAAGGCUGCGACUAAUAAUCGCAGUUCAUGACGGUACCGGAAGAAGAAGCACCGGCUAACUACGUGCCAGCAGCCGCGGUAAUACGUAGGGUGCGAGCGUUAAUCGGAAUUACUGGGCGUAAAGGGUGCGCAGGCGGUUUUGUAAGUCAGAUGUGA
rnacentral:rRNA from 1 species